UACGAAGGACCCGAGCGUUAUCCGGAUUUAUUGGGUUUAAAGGGUGCGUAGGCGGAUUAGUAAGUCAGUGGUGAAAGCCCAUCGCUUAACGGUGGAAUUGCCAUUGAUACUGCUAGUCUUGAGUAUGGUUGAGGUGGGCGGAAUGUGUCAUGUAGCGGUGAAAUGCUUAGAUAUGACACAGAACACCGAUUGCGAAGGCAGCUCACUAAGUCAUAACUGACGCUGAUGCACGAAAGCGUGGGGAGCAAACAGG
rnacentral:rRNA from 1 species